GACGAACGCUGGCGGCGUGCCUAAUACAUGCAAGUCGAGCGGACUGAAUGGGAGCUUGCUCUUGUUCGGUCAGCGGCGGACGGGUGAGUAACACGUGGGCAACCUGCCCGCAAGACCGGGAUAACUCCGGGAAACCGGAGCUAAUACCGGAUAACACCGAAGACCGCAUGGUCUUUGGUUGAAAGGCGGCGCAAGCUGCCACUUGCGGAUGGGCCCGCGGCGCAUUAGCUAGUUGGUGAGGUAACGGCUCACCAAGGCGACGAUGCGUAGCCGGCCUGAGGGGGUGACCGGCCACACUGGGACUGAGACACGGCCCAGACUCCUACGGGAGGCAGCAGUAGGGAAUCUUCCGCAAGGGGCGAAAGCCUGACGGAGCGACGCCGCGUGAGCGAAGAAGGCCUUCGGGUCGUAAAGCUCUGUUGUGAGGGACGAAGGAGCGCCGUUUGAAGAAGGCGGCGCGGUGACGGUACCUCACGAGGAAGCCCCGGCUAACUACGUG
rnacentral:rRNA from 1 species